GAAGGAUGUAUUGAAGAAUUGAAGGGUGGCUAAACUCUUAAAUAUAUAAGUAAAAGAAAUAACGCACAGAGACGUAGUUCUUGCUGCUAGGCCAUAGAUGAGCCGGAUAUUUAUUACACUACCACAGAUUCCUCAUUACAGUUUCAUCAGUUCAAUACUCAAACAUCUUCCCAAGUCUCAAC